rnacentral:rRNA from 1 species
AUUGAACGCUGGCGGCAGUCCUAACACAUGCAAGUCGGGCGAGUGGCGGACGGGUGAGUAAUUUAUGGGGAUCUGCCUGAUGGAGGGGGCUAACUACUGGAAACGGUAGCUAAUACCGCAUACCAUCAGCUGUACCCAAAUGUGAGUAGCUUGUAGGUGAGGUAACGGCUCACCUAGGCGACGAUCCCUAGCUGGUCUGAGAGGAUGAUCAGACACACUGCGACUGAGACACGGCCCAGACUCCUACGGGAGGCAGCAGUGGGGAAUAUUGCACAAUGGGCGCAAGCCUGAGGCAGCCAUGCCGCGUGUAUGAAGAAGGCCUUCGGGUUGUAAAGUACUUUCAGUCGGGAGGCGUUACCGACAGAAGAAGCACCGGCUAACUCCGUGCCAGCAGCCGCGGUAAUAC